rnacentral:rRNA from 1 species
CAGCAGCCGCGGUAAUACAGAGGGUGCGAGCGUUAAUCGGAUUUACUGGGCGUAAAGCGUGCGUAGGCGGCUUUUUAAGUCGGAUGUGAAAUCCCUGAGCUUAACUUAGGAAUUGCAUUCGAUACUGGGAAGCUAGAGUAUGGGAGAGGAUGGUAGAAUUCCAGGUGUAGCGGUGAAAUGCGUAGAGAUCUGGAGGAAUACCGAUGGCGAAGGCAGCCAUCUGGCCUAAUACUGACGCUGAGGUACGAAAGCAUGGGGAGCAAACAGGAUUAGAUACCCCGGUAGUCCCUGUCUCUAUACA